rnacentral:rRNA from 1 species
GCUAAAUACUCCUGACUGACCGAUAGUGAACCAGUACCGUGAGGGAAAGGCGAAAAGAACCCCGGCGAGGGGAGUGAAAAAGAACCUGAAACCGUGUACGUACAAGCAGUGGGAGCCUCUUUAUGGGGUGACUGCGUACCUUUUGUAUAAUGGGUCAGCGACUUAUAUUCUGUAGCAAGGUUAACCGAAUAGGGGAGCCGAAGGGAAACCGAGUCUUAACUGGGCGUUAAGUUGCAGGGUAUAGACCCGAAACCCGGUGAUCUAGCCAUGGGCAGGUUGAAGGUUGGGUAACACUAACUGGAGGACCGAACCGACUAAUGUUGAAAAAUUAGCGGAUGACUUGUGGCUGGGGGUGAAAGGCCAAUCAAACCGGGAGAUAGCUGGUUCUCCCCGAAAGCUAUUUAGGUAGCGCCUCGUGAAUUCAUCUCCGGGGGUAGAGCACUGUUUCGGCAAGGGGGUCAUCCCGACUUACCAACCCGAUGCAAACUGCGAAUACCGGAGAAUGUUAUCACGGGAGACACACGGCGGGUGCUAACGUCCGUCGUGAAGAGGGAAACAACCCAGACCGCCAGCUAAGGUCCCAAAGUCAUGGUUAAGUGGGAAACGAUGUGGGAAGGCCCAGACAGCCAGGAUGUUGGCUUAGAAGCAGCCAUCAUUUAAAGAAAGCGUAAUAGCUCACUGGUCGAGUCGGCCUGCGCGGAAGAUGUAACGGGGCUAAACCAUGCACCGAAGCUGCGGCAGCGACACUAUGUGUUGUUGGGUAGGGGAGCGUUCUGUAAGCCUGUGAAGGUGGCCUGUGAGGGUUGCUGGAGGUAUCAGAAGUGCGAAUGCUGACAUAAGUAACGAUAAAGCGGGUGAAAAGCCCGCUCGCCGGAAGACCAAGGGUUCCUGUCCAACGUUAAUCGGGGCAGGGUGAGUCGACCCCUAAGGCGAGGCCGAAAGGCGUAGUCGAUGGGAAACAGGUUAAUAUUCCUGUACUUGGUGUUACUGCGAAGGGGGGACGGAGAAGGCUAUGUUGGCCGGGCGACGGUUGUCCCGGUUUAAGCGUGUAGGCUGGUUUUCCAGGCAAAUCCGGAAAACCAAGGCUGAGGCGUGAUGACGAGGCACUACGGUGCUGAAGCGACAAAUGCCCUGCUUCCAGGAAAAGCCUCUAAGCAUCAGGUAACAUCAAAUCGUACCCCAAACCGACACAGGUGGUCAGGUAGAGAAUACCAAGGCGCUUGAGAGAACUCGGGUGAAGGAACUAGGCAAAAUGGUGCCGUAACUUCGGGAGAAGGCACGCUGAUAUGUAGGUGAAGCGACUUGCUCGUGGAGCUGAAAUCAGUCGAAGAUACCAGCUGGCUGCAACUGUUUAUUAAAAACACAGCACUGUGCAAACACGAAAGUGGACGUAUACGGUGUGACGCCUGCCCGGUGCCGGAAGGUUAAUUGAUGGGGUUAGCGGUAACGCGAAGCUCUUGAUCGAAGCCCCGGUAAACGGCGGCCGUAACUAUAACGGUCCUAAGGUAGCGAAAUUCCUUGUCGGGUAAGUUCCGACCUGCACGAAUGGCGUAAUGAUGGCCAGGCUGUCUCCACCCGAGACUCAGUGAAAUUGAACUCGCUGUGAAGAUGCAGUGUACCCGCGGCAAGACGGAAAGACCCCGUGAACCUUUACUAUAGCUUGACACUGAACAUUGAGCCUUGAUGUGUAGGAUAGGUGGGAGGCUUUGAAGUGUGGACGCCAGUCUGCAUGGAGCCGACCUUGAAAUACCACCCUUUAAUGUUUGAUGUUCUAACGUUGGCCCGUAAUCCGGGUUGCGGACAGUGUCUGGUGGGUAGUUUGACUGGGGCGGUCUCCUCCUAAAGAGUAACGGAGGAGCACGAAGGUUGGCUAAUCCUGGUCGGACAUCAGGAGGUUAGUGCAAUGGCAUAAGCCAGCUUGACUGCGAGCGUGACGGCGCGAGCAGGUGCGAAAGCAGGUCAUAGUGAUCCGGUGGUUCUGAAUGGAAGGGCCAUCGCUCAACGGAUAAAAGGUACUCCGGGGAUAACAGGCUGAUACCGCCCAAGAGUUCAUAUCGACGGCGGUGUUUGGCACCUCGAUGUCGGCUCAUCACAUCCUGGGGCUGAAGUAGGUCCCAAGGGUAUGGCUGUUCGCCAUUUAAAGUGGUACGCGAGCUGGGUUUAGAACGUCGUGAGACAGUUCGGUCCCUAUCUGCCGUGGGCGCUGGAGAACUGAGGGGGGCUGCUCCUAGUACGAGAGGACCGGAGUGGACGCAUCACUGGUGUUCGGGUUGUCAUGCCAAUGGCACUGCCCGGUAGCUAAAUGCGGAAGAGAUAAGUGCUGAAAGCAUCUAAGCACGAAACUUGC